rnacentral:rRNA from 1 species
GACGAACGCUGGCGGCGUGCUUAACACAUGCAAGUCGAACGGAAAGGCCCUGCUUUUGUGGGGUGCUCGAGUGGCGAACGGGUGAGUAACACGUGAGUAACCUGCCCUUGACUUUGGGAUAACUUCAGGAAACUGGGGCUAAUACCGGAUAGGAGCUCCUGCUGCAUGGUGGGGGUUGGAAAGUUUCGGCGGUUGGGGAUGGACUCGCGGCUUAUCAGCUUGUUGGUGGGGUAGUGGCUUACCAAGGCUUUGACGGGUAGCCGGCCUGAGAGGGUGACCGGCCACAUGGGGACGGAGAUACGGCCCAGCCCCCUAGGGGGGGCAGCAGGGGGGAAUAUGGCACAAGGGGGGGAAGCCGGAUGCAGAAACCCCGGGGGGGGGAGGACGGCCUUCGGGUUGUAAACCGCUUUCGCCUGUGACGAAGGGGGAGUGACGGUAAUGGGAAAAGAAGCACCGGCAAACUACGU